UGAAUUGAUCCAUGUCAGCUCUUUUCCAUGCCGUUUGCCAACUAUCGAGCGAUAUUGACUCCGAUCAAUUUUUCCAGACGUUGUUACAGUUACCUUGAGUCCAUCGAAGAGAGCAACGGUGAAGAGUGCCAGCCAUGUUGGUCGAUGAAGUGGUAGUGGCGGGGACGGCAGUCGCGGGAUUGAUAUUCGUUUUCACCGGUGGGAUCGGUUAUUUCAUCUGGAAGGACGCACGGAAAUACAAAUAACGAAGUCCUUCGGAUUCCAGAGCACGCAAGGCACUUUCGGGCGACGUUAGUCGCCCUUU
rnacentral:misc_RNA from 1 species